rnacentral:lncRNA from 1 species
GUAUCCUCAGGGAUCUUGGGCUAAGUUGAGAUUACAAAAUAAAAGAAAGAAGUGUUGUUUUGAUUUAGAAAAUAAAUUAUCUUAAAAUUGAUGUAGUUAGAAAAUAAAGAACUCGAGAGUUUUGAAUUAAUUUUGCACUAGCAGAGUUGUAUCUCUUUUUUAAUUAAAUAGAUGCGAUUAAUCUUAGAAAAAAUAUCUAUUUUUUCUCGGCACACCCCGUACCCGNNNN